rnacentral:rRNA from 1 species
AAUGAACGCUGGCGGCGUGCCUAACACAUGCAAGUCGUGCGCGAAAGGGGCUUCGGCCCUGAGUAGAGCGGCGAACGGGUGAGUAACACGUGGGUGACCUGCCUGGGGGUGGGGGAUAACCUGGGGAAACUCGGGCUAAUACCGCAUACGUUCCCGGAGCUACGGUUCCGGGAGGAAAGGUGGCCUCUGCUUGCAAGCUACCGCUCCCAGAGGGGCCCGCGGCUGAUUAGCUAGUUGGUGGGGUAACGGCCCACCAAGGCGACGAUCAGCAGCCGGCCGGGGAGGGUGAUCGGCCAACCUGUAACUGAGACACGGUCCAGGAUCCUACGGGAGGCAGCAGUUGGGAAUAUGGGACGAUGGGUGCAAACCUGAUGCAGCAACGCCGCGUGGGGGAUGAAGGUCUUCGGAUUGUAAACCCCUGUUAAGAGGGGCGAAGGCUUUCGGGCGAACAGUCCGGAAGCUUGACGGUACCUCUAGAGGAAGCCCCGGCUAACUCUGUGCCAGCCGCCGCGGUAA